UUGUGCUUGAUCUAACCAUGUGCUUGCGAGGUAUGAGAAAAACAUGGUUCCGUCAAGCACCAUG
rnacentral:pre_miRNA from 1 species